rnacentral:misc_RNA from 1 species
AUCACUUGCGUUGUGCCUCGUGGCAAGCUCGCAUGGAGAGCGGCGCCGUCUCCAGCGAAAGCCGUGUCGACAAAGUCGAUCGCGGGAGCAUCGCGAGUCCUCUGCCGUUCUUGAGUGCGACUAUGCCAGAGCAGCAGAAAGCGACGGCAGCCCUCAUCGACGCACCUGACGACAUAGACUCGCUGGCAGAAGAAUUGGAGAACGCGACACACUCGCCGAAGACGAUGACCGCGGCGAGCACGCCGGCAACAGGCCCGAAGGUCAAAGGAAGCGCCAGAAGCAAGAAGAAGCGGGGCGCCACCGCCCCACGGGGGACAGCGGGGCGCAAAGUGAGGCCAGAGUCGGCUGAAGAGUCUACCCUGGUGGCAGCCAUAACAGCGCGCUCCGCGGAGCACGGCACCACCGGCACCCGCAGCAGCAGCCGAGACGAGCCCGAUGGACUGAGCGAACGGAGAGACGAGACGCGACGAGGGAGUGAAGGGCCAGAGCAAAACCUGUCGACCGUGGAAGGCGUGCUGGCGUGCCGCACCAAGACGGAAAAAGCGGAGGGCACCGCAGCACUGCAGCAAGAGAAGCCGCGCCCUGACGGAGCCAGCGACACGGCAGCGAGCAAGCUUGAGGGGUCUGAGGAGCUGCUCGGUGAUGCACGCCUCCACGAGGUUCGCGGCAGUCGGUCUCGCUCGCACUCCACGGCGCCACACACCCCGGCGGUACUGAACCCCGCCUUUGCGUCGUCGCUGUCUGCACUCGGUGCCAAGCAGGAAGAGGAGGAGGUGUGGGAGGUGGCGGUGCAGGCGGCCAUCGAUGCCCAGGAGCGCCAGCUGCGCCACACCCUACUUAGCGUUUUCCCCCCUGAGCUACUCCGGGGCGCCGAAUGGGAGCGGUGUCUCGCCAAAGAGUGGGACCUCCGGAGUGGCACCGAAGCCGCUGUCGCGAGGAACGUAAAGGAUGCGCCAUCCCAGCCUGUGCGCACCGCUCCAACGCCGUUUCUGUCCUCUUCCCUGCCCCACCGCCUCAGCCCCGAGCCACUCCUGCCGCUGCUGAAGGCACUGUGCGAGGACAAAGCCUAUGUACACGGCGCGUGGUGCCGCUACGAGGACGACCUUGCCGUCCGCCGCACCCAGAACAGCAUCCAGCGCAAGCGGCAGCGCAACUCAUUCAACAAGGGUGGUCGCAAAGCCUCCUCGAGCGGGCCAACCGCUGCAGCACGGCGUCGAGAUGGCGACGGCGACGACGACGAUAGUAGCGCUGGUGAGGACAACGCUGCCGAUGAAGACGAGCUCCAGCCCCCAGAAUCUCAUUGGGUGGAGGCGCCGCCCGCCUUCACGGGCGGCCCGCGGCCGUUCCCGACGAGUGCCACUCACCUCGCGCCUGACAGCGCUGUCAUCGGUGGAUUCCAGUGGACACCGUGGCGCUUCUACCGAGAAAAGCGGCGGCGCAGCUCGCGACGGCCAACGGCCAGUGACGCGUCCCCCGCCUCAGCGAGGUCUGUAACCGCGGCCAGUGCCGCUCAGCCGGACCUCUUCUCCGCUGUCUCCAGCAGCGCACCUGUCAGCAGUGGUGGCGUACCCUCUCUCGCCUGCUCCGAGGUGCCCUCUCUGCCAGUUCUUCAAGUAGAGGCGCACGUACCGGAAAGCGCGGUGGCUGUCGUGCCUCCGAUGACGCCGGAGGAGCGAAAAGGGUACGCACGCUACGUGAUGAGCAGCGGGAAACUGCGCCACGACUGCCGCGAUCCAUACGCCUUUCUCGUUUCGCGUGCAAAGGAGAUGCGCAUCCAGUGGAAGCGCCAGCAUCCGAUGGACUGAAACACGUGUGCGUGCCUACGCAACGCUAAAAGCGGGUUGGAGAUGCAGCCGGGGCAGUGAAGCGCGGCAUGCGAGUAAGCCCGAUUCACACCACAUCCAUGGCUGCCGACAGUGCACCUCUGUGGGUGUGUGCGUGCUGAGCGAUGCAGCGACGUGCCUGCUUCUACUUGUAUCAGUCCCCACCACCACCACCGCCACACACACACACUUCCGACUCUCUCCUACCGACGUUUUUCCUGCUGCAUGUGUGUGUGUGUGUGUGUGUCCGCGUGUGUGUUGUGAAGAAGCGGAAGUGCCGUCGCCACGGUGACAGAUCGCGGCCGUCGGUGAGGGCACGACGGAAGGAAGCAAAGGAGAGGAAGGGCCGCGCCGUCUACAAUUUGUCUCCGGAGGCGCCCCCACUUUUGUGUGUGACCGCCGCUUCGAUGUAGUACAGUUCUGCUUCACCGCCACCGUCACCACCACCCGUCCGUCCUCCUCUCUUUCGUGUCUACCAUCCUCACUCACACGGACGAUUGCCGCCGCUGCUGCUGCUGCUGCUGAGCUUCUUCCCGCUCUCCACCGAG